ACUCCUACGGGAGGCAGCAGUCGAGAAUCUUUCACAAUGGGGGCAACCCUGAUGGAGCGACGCCGCGUGGAGGGAUAAGGUCUUCGGAUUGUAAACUCCUGUCAUGUGAGAACAAGGUUCAGGGUUAUAUACCUUUGCAAUUGAUUGGUUAUCACAAUGAGGGAAGNGAACGGGCAUAACUCCGUGUGCCAGCAGCCGCGGUAAUACAGAGGUCUCAAGCGUUGUUCGGAAUCACUGGGCGUAAAGGGUGCGUAGGUGGCGUGGUAAGUCAGAUGUGAAAGCCCGGGGCUCAACCUCGGAACAGCAUCCGAUACUGCCGUGCUAGAGUACUGAAGAGGUGACUAGAAUUCUCGGUGUAGCAGUGAAAUGCGUAGAUAUCGAGAGGAAUACCAAAGGCGAAGGCAGGUCACUGGGCAGUUACUGACACUGAGGCACGAAGGCCAGGGGAGCAAA
rnacentral:rRNA from 1 species